AGAGAUCUUCUGCAACCUUAGUGGUUCUAUGUUCCUAUGAUUCUAUGACUGUAUGAAUACUGCAUUACUUCUGCUUUGUGCAGUUGAUAUCUUCUCUGUUAUAGAAAUUAAACUUUUUUUUUUUAAUCAUUAGUUGAGUUUCUAAUGCUCACCUUGCUUUCCUUUGUUAUCUCUGUAACCAAAACAAUUAUCUUAGAACAACUUAGCUGUCAGGAUGCCAUUGCCAUGUCUAUUUUCUUCAUCACAGGCUAAGCCCUUCUGUGUCAUGUGUUCAAAGGGUCAAGCAGCAUUGGCCUCAGGAAAUGUCAAGAGUUUUUGAAAGGCAUUAGGCAAGCAGUACAAGCUCAGGUUGACAAGAAGGUCUAUGCAAGAAUGUAAUAACAAAUUUAGCUCAUUAUGAAGGGAUAUAUUUCUAGGUACAUGGAAAAGAUGUAAUUCAUAGAUUCCUAGCAGUUAGCUUUAUGCUGAGUGCCCCUAAUUUCUUUUCGUCGGUGGUCAGAAAAAUCAGCAAUGGAGGUAUAUUUCCAGCUUCAUUUGGUUUUCAGAUUUCUAUCUACAUUGUUAAAUAUGUCUUCACCUGAGCUACUCUAAACUGGUCUCAGCAGAAAUCCCCAAGGCAAUCCCUUGAAAUGCCUUUCUACUGGGAACAUUUUGCAGGAGAACCACUUACCACAGGGAAGGUCUGACUCCCACCUCUCAUCCUUGGGGUGACAUGGCUUCUAAUCCACCAGUUACCUGUUGCGGAGUGGCUGCAGGGUACAUCAGUCCGUCAGCAUUCUGGAGUAUCUGUUCUUCUGCAAAAAUACAGCUUUGGCCUCCACUCCAUAAACCUGAGCGGCAUAGGUUAUUCUUGUAUAAGGAACCUUUCCAUUCAUUUACAUCAGUGCAUAGGUUGUUUAAGUUAGCUCAGCUCACCUCUGAUUUAGAUCUUGCUAGAAAGCUGACCUGUUCUUGUUAUUUAUUAUCCUUUCAAUUGUUGUGCUCUCUGCAAAGCUCAACAGCAAUAACUUCAUAUGAUCUUCUGGUUCACUGACUCUUUUUCUUUUCUUGUUAUCAUUUCGGAGGCCUUUAUCAGUUUUCCACUUCUGUGAUUUUUAAGUUUUACGUGUUUAUUGCCUUGUUAAUUAUCCUGGAAAGGGGUGGGGAGAAAAGAGAGAGGAGAAAAAAUAGAAUACAAGUGCAUCUGUUAUUAAUAUGUAAUGGAUACAGAAAUGUCCCAAUUGUUCACCACCAAAUGUUAUCAUUCACAACAGUAACUUCCAAGGCAAUGUGUUACUGAAGUGUGGUGAGUGCAAGAUUCAAAGCACAGAUCUGCUUUCUGUUGCCUUUGACUUUACAUGACUCUGUUCACUCAGAGAUAAUUGCAAACACAGACAUUCAGUGAGUGGAAAAGGAUGCACCAGAAAGAUAUGCAUCUGAUUUUUCUGGGCUGCUAAGGUACAAAUGUAUGUUCAGAAGUAGUGUUGAUGGAUGUUAAAAAUACAUUAAAAAUGAUAAAAUAAUUUAAAAUUAGGGGUUUUCUAUUACUUGAACUGAAGAAUUUUUACAGAAUUGCCUGAGCCUGUGUGCCUGAACAAUGGGGAGCUUCCAAUAAAAUGAAAGCAGGCAGU
ensembl:lncRNA